rnacentral:rRNA from 1 species
AGCAGCCGCGGUAAUUCCAGCUCCAAUAGCGUAUAUUAAAGUUGUUGCAGUUAAAAAGCUCGUAGUUGAAUUUCGGGGUCAAUACGUCGGUCGUGCCUCGGUACGUACUAACGUUAUUGAUCCCUCCCUUCUGACGAACCGUGAUGUCAUUAAUUUGGUGUUGCGGGGAAUCAGGACCAUUACCUUGAAAAAAUUAGAGUGUUUAAAGCAGGCAAUCGCUCGAAUACAUUAGCAUGGAAUAAUGAAAUAGGACGUUCGAACCUAUUUUGUUGGUUUUCUAAGAUCGACGUAAUGAUUAAUAGGGAUAGUUGGGGGCAUUAGUAUUCAAUUGUCAGAGGUGAAAUUCUUGGAUUUAUUGAAGACUAACUACUGCGAAAGCAUUUGCCAAGGAUGUUUUCAUUAAUCAAGAACGAAAGUUAGGGGAUCGAAGACGAUCAGAUACCGUCGUAGUCUUAACCAUAAACUAUAGCCGACUAGGGAUCGGAUGAUGUUAAUUUUUAUAAUUGACUCAUUCGGCGCC